rnacentral:rRNA from 1 species
UGUUGGGUUAAGUCCCGCAACGAGCGCAACCCUUGUUCCUAGUUGCCAGCAUUGAGUCGGGCACUCUAGGGAGACUGCCGGUGACAAACCGGAGGAAGGUGAGGAUGACGUCAAGUCAGCAUGCCCCUUACGCUCUGGGCUACACACGUGCUACAAUGGCGCGGACAAAGGGUCGCGAGCGCGCGAGCGUGAGCCAAUCCCAAAAACCGCGUCUCAGUUCAGAUCGCAGGCUGCAACUCGCCUGCGUGAAGGCGGAAUCGCUAGUAAUCGCAGAUCAGCAUGCUGCGGUGAAUACGUUCCCGGGCCUUGUACACACCGCCCGUCACACCAUGGGAGCUGGCCAUGCCCGAAGUCGGAGCACCCGCCGAAGGCAGGGCUGGUGACUGGGGUGAAGUCGUAACAAGGUAGCCGUACCGGAAGGUGCGGCUGGAUCACCUCCUUU